rnacentral:rRNA from 1 species
GACCGCGGGAAUUCGAUUCAGGCCUAACACAUGCAAGUCGAGCGGGGUUUUCGGACCUAGAGGAGGACGGGUGAGUAAUGCGUAGGAAGCUACCCGAUAGAGGGGGAUACCAGUUGGAAACGACUGUUAAUACCGCAUAAUGUGUACGGACCAAAGUGUGGGACCUUCGGGCCACAUGCUAUCGGAUGCGCCUACGUGGGAUUAGCUAGUUGGUGAGGUAAUGGCUCACCAAGGCGAUGAUCUCUAGCUGGUUUGAGAGGAUGAUCAGCCACACUGGAACUGAGACACGGUCCAGACUCCUACGGGAGGCAGCAGUGGGGAAUAUUGGACAAUGGGCGCAAGCCUGAUCCAGCCAAGGCGCGUGUGUGAAGAAGUCCUUCGGGUUGUACAUCAAAAGGAGCGAGGAGGAAGGGGUGAGUGUUAAUAGUACUCAUCUUGACGUACUCGCA